UCAUUUUACUUGGAUCCAUAAUUAACACUCAUGGAAGCAUCAGUCAAGAAAUCAAAAGACACAUUGCAUUGGGCAAAUCUGCUGCAAAAAACCUCUUUAAAGUGUUCAAAAGCAAAGAUGUCACUUUGAAGACUAAGGUGCACCUGACCCAAGCCAUGGUAUUUUCAAUUGCAUCAUAUGCAUGUGAAAGCUGGGCAAUGAAUAAGGAAAACCAAAGAAGAAUUGAGGCCUUUGAAUUGUGGUAUUGGUGAAGAAUAUUGAAUAUAUCAUGGACUGCCAAAGAACAAAAAAAUCUGUCUUGAAAGAUAUACAACCAGAAUGUUCCUUAGAAGCAAGGAUGGAAAGACUCUGUCUUACAUGCUUUGUACAUGUAGUCAGGAGGGAUCAGUCCUUGGAGAAGGACUUCAUGUUGGUAAAGUACAGGGUCAGUGGAAAAGAGGAAGGCCCUCAACGAGGUGAAUUGACACAGUGGCUGCAACAAUGGGCUCAAGCAUAACAACGAUUUUAAGGAUGGUACAGGACAGGGCAGUGUUUCGUUUUGUUGCGCAUAGGGUCACUAUGAGUCAGAACCUACUCAAUGGCACCUAACAACAACAGCAACAACAUAGCCUUAACUUCCUCUCCAUAUCGAAGUUUUAUGACUACACUGUUUAUUUCCUCUUUUUUGUUUUGAUGUUGUCAUCGUUUACAUAUUGAUGUCACUUGCUCCCCAUUUUGUCUUUAGCUUUAAUUUGUUUUUGUGAAUUUCCUGUCUAGAUUGAUAAUUGGUUACUCUGUCCUGUGUUCUGAUCUUGGAUUAUUGUCUGAUAUUUUGGUUCUCUAAGCAGACUCCCUUUAGUAUUUCCUAUAAUUUUGGCUUACUUUUUUUUUUUUUUUUUUAAAUUCUCUUAACUUCUGUUUAUCUGAAGAUGACCUAAUUUCACCAUUGUAUUUGAGAGACAGUUUUGUUGGGUAUAUAAUUCUUUACUGGCAUUUUUUUCUUUUUUCCUUCAAGACUUUAUAUAUGUCAUCCCAUUACCUUCUGGCCUGCAUAUUUUCUGCUGAGUGGUCAGAGCUUAGUUUUAUUUGUUCUCCUUUGUAGGUGACUUUUUGUUUAUCCUUAGCGGCUCUCAAGAUUCUAUCUUCGUCUUUGGUUUUGGUAGGCUGGGCUUGUGAGCUACUUUGGUUGUUCGUGUCUUUGACGCUCUCAUGUCCUGUCUCCAGGUCGUCAGAACAGCUACGAGGUGUGGGUAGGGGUGAAGGCCCUGCAAGUCCAUGGACCCUUUAUGCUAGUGCCUGGGUGAAGUAGCCACAAGACAUGUUCACUUCCUACCCUACUAUACUCUACCAAGAUCAAAUCAAUGCCAAGAUCAAACACUUGACAAUAUUCUGGUUGGUAUUUUUUUCUUAUUCAUGUCCAUUUAUCUUAUCUCCUAGUUUAGUCCCUUUGAUUCUAUGAAUGGCAUGUCACAUUUUCCAGUGCCACCCCUAACCCCCCACCCCCAAAACACAUACCUAAGACUAUGCAUGUAAUAGCCAAUAACCUUUACUGAAUAAAACAUCGGUCAAACUAAAUAAAGGAGUAGAUUCAUUUUUUUAAGGUAAUUUCUAGUCAUCGAAGCCAACUGCUUCACAAUCUAACUCUCCAACAGAUGCCUGAUUUUUCAUUUUAUUGACACUGCUUGAAAAUCUCCAAUCUGAGUUAAUCCUCCGUGCUGGUAAUUUGAAUAUUGCUUCAGACACAAACCCACAAGCAUCUCUCAAAACUGCCAGUUUCAACAACACCAAGUGAAUGGAAAAUGUGGUGUUGGGGAGAGAGCCCGGUUCAUCUCUGCGAUAUUCUGUACAGCAGUUGUGUGAAUAUUAUCAGUAAAGAGCAGUCUUCAGUUUCCCCCUUUUAGUAUAUCGCUGCUUCUUUUUCCAUAUUAUACCCUUUCUGACUAGGUUUCUAAGCUUCAGCUUUGGUUUCUGAUGAUUAUUCAUAUCAUCUUUAUUUCAGAUUAAAAGCCUUUAAGUAAAUAACCAAGACUUGAAAAAUUGUAGAGGAUAAUUCUUAUAUAACACAAACUUCAUUAUAUGGUUCUGUCAUCCUCCCCACCCUCCUGCAAUCCCUUUUAUUCUAAUUUUUUUUUGUCAACUUAGUAACUUUAUUUCUUGUGUAGUUUUAUACCAUGUUCAGUUUUAUACCAUGUUCAUUUUUAUACCAUGUUCAGUAUAGAUGGUAUAAUUAGCAUUGGAAAAUAUUUUGUUGUUUUCCUGCAUUUAUUUUUGUUCAAAGGAUCAUGUAAAGUUCUGGUACAUUAAAAUUUAAUUUGGAAGAAAACGAGUUUUGUUUCAUUUCUCAAUGUAAUGCCCGUUUCUGUUCAGCUUGUAUGAAUGAUAAAACAUUAUCAGCCCAUGUUUUUCUAUUUGGUUUCUAGGCAUUUGUGUAAACUAGUUUGGAAAAGCAAGUGUUGCUUUGUUAGCAAGUGUUCAAGGAAGUAUUGUAGAGACAUAUUUUAUUCUAUGUACCCUGUCACCAUGUAGACAGAGCCCAAUCCAUUAUUUAGUAAUUAAUUUGUUAAUUGAUUGACCAAUAGGCUCAGAUUCUUUUUUUUUAUUCUUGAUUACCAAAAAAGGGGGAAAAAAGGCGGAAGAAAAAAAAAAAAAGCACAAAACCUCCUCUAUAGGGUAAAUUUAAGGAAAUCGCAUCAGAAUUGAAAAUGAAUUGGUGUUUACAGAUCUAGAUAGAAUCUGACACAGAUUGGCAAACAAUGAAAAAGAUUUCCUUGCUUGGAGCAUAAACAUUUUGAAUCUCACCAGCCAGGUGUUAAAUCUCAGAAAGUAAGUAAACUAAAUUGCUCUUCUGGGUGGAGGUGUGGGGUAAAGGAGGGAGGGUGAAGCAACUCUAGUCUUGCUUAAAGUUGUUCACAUUUUUUCUCUAGGGUCAGGGAAAGGGCAGGGAGUUUUCCACACUUUCCAGUUUAUGUAGGUCUCUCCUCUUCCUCUUUCUCCCUCAAACUUUAACAAUUUAGAAUUAGAAAAAAGGCGGAGAAAUGGACUGUGAAUACACAGGCUCUCGACUCCAUGGCACUGGGUUGACACUGGGUUUAAUGCCAUGGGUGCCCAUAGAAUCUUAAGAAAGUGAAAAUUGUGAAAUUUACAAUAAAAAUUAUUUCUGCAGAGGAUGAUCAGAUGAUUGUGUAGACCAAUCACUAAGUCAAUCAACUAUAAAUGUUAUGAAUGAAUAUUUUAGUAGAGAAAUUAAGUCACACCAAUUAAUUUUUAUGUAGCAAAAUCAUAUUUUUCUCUGAGUUAACUUGUGCUUGCUUUAACCAUAUUUUUUCAGGUAUGUAUAAGGUGUGUGUGUGCAUGUAUAUGUUUAUGUGUCCGUGUCUGAGAGAGUGAGUGUAAGGGUGAUAGUGAUAAUGAUGGAUCCAACGAUUGUCCCACUUUGUUAGGGUGUAGCUGGAGUGAACUAGAUAAACAGGUCAUGUAGAAGUGGAGGGUCUGUAUUUAGUUAACUUUGUAUAAGUUAAAAUCACAAAAUAAAGUUUAGUUCUAAGGAUUUCUUUUCUUGGGACUUCUUCCACCAACUCCAAUUCUCAUGGUUACAGCAGAAGACUCCUUCUGGCUCUGUUGGUAACAUUUGACAUUAUUCCAUGAAUAUGGUUUAUUAGUCCAGGAUUAAACACCUGAUGAAUACUAGAUUAACUAUUCUCUCUUGAGAGAUUUGAAACUGGAGUAAGACACUCUUGUUUUCACAUGACUUUAUUUUAAUGAUAAAGAUAAAACCAUGGAGCAAUGACUAGCCCUUUCCUAUUUGGUGGACUGGAAUGCAAAACAGUCUAGAGAAAGAAAGAUGAGGAAGGCUAAUUAUAGAAGAGCAGAUAUGAGAGGAAACCAGAGAAUAAUAAUUCAAUUUCAGCCCUGGGCCAAGUUAAUCUCUGGAACUCAACUUUGUGCCUACCCUUGUGCUCCUUGACACAUUCUGGGCACUGAGGAUGAAAUCUACUUUCUUGCUUAAUCAACUUUGAUCUGAUUUUUGUUAUCUUUCAUGAAAAAACCUAAAUAAUACACUAACCCAGGAUAGUCUUAAACGGUAAGAUUGAAUAUACGGGGAAAAAAAAGUUAAUUCCUAUAUUUAAUGACAUGUGGACAAAUUAUCCACUGAUUCAUUGUUUUCUUUGAUUUGCUGUUUUGUGAUAAAAGAACUCUAUGAUUUUGUGAGUUUUCUUUAAAAUCCUUUAGGCCAUUCCUGGGAAUAUAUUUUUAGAACUUUUGUGUAUUACAGUCUUAGUCAUCUAGUACUGCCAUAACAGAAGUACCACAAGUGGAUGGCUUUAACAAAGAGAAACUUAUUUUCUCACAGUCUAUCUAGUAGGUUAUAAGUCCAAAUGCAGGGUGUCAGUUCCAGGGGAUGGUUUUCUCUCUUCAUUGGCUCGGGAGGAAGGUCCUUGUCCUCAAUUUUCCUCUGGUGGAGAAGCUUGUCAGGCUCAGGGGCUCUGGGUCCAAAGAAUGUGCUCUGCUCCUGGUGCUGCUUUCUUGGUGGUAUGAGGUCCCCAAAUCUCUGCUUGUUUUCCUUUUCUUUUAUCUCUUGAGAGAUAAAAGGUGGUAGAGGUCACACCCCAGGGAAACUCUCUUUACAUUGGAUCAGGGAGGUGACCUGAGUAAGGGUGGUGUUACAAUCCCACUGUAAUCCUUUUAACAUAAAAUUACAAUCACAAAACGGAAGACAACCACUCAAUACUGGGAAGCAUGGCCUAAUGGGGAGCAUACACAUGUUUUUUGGGGGUCAUAAUUCAAUCCAUGACAAUUACAGUACAAGAAUGAAAUAAAACUGAACAAAUGAUGUCUUAUUCCUUACACUUCACUCUAAGAAAAAAAUAUUUCAAUAUAUAGGCUGAAUUUAAUUACAGAAUCAAAGAAACUUGAAUGGUUAGGAGAUACUGUAAUUGAUUCAGAGGAAGAAUAGGAAAAAGAGGAUAAAGGGUUAAAGGAAUCAAAGAAGUUAUCAAAUAGUAUUUGAGGAGAAUGAGAGCAUAGGCUUACUGGAGAAGGGUAUGAGUGCCAGCCUGAGUCAGCAGCCCAGUGAUGUGUAGGUGGUAUUGUCCAUCUCUCCCACAAUGCCCCAGGCCACAUUUCCAUAACUAAGAGAUGAUUCAAGUAUGCCUUCCACCCUGGUCCAUUAUGUGACUUUCAACGCUUUCCUCUCUUCUCACAUCUUCUAUGUAGUCUUCCCUGGUUUUGCCAGUUUAUUCUGAUGACGCUCUGUAAGUAUCUACAGUUGUCAUUGAACAUAGCUGCCAUCAGGUCAUAGCUGUCUCAUAGCAUUUCUAUUAUUGUUUUCUUCUGCCUUUUGAUGUUUUGUUUUUGAUUCACUUGUUACUGCCUGCCCAAUGAGUCAGCAAAUUCUCAAAAGUCAAGAUAUCAGUAUUUCAACACGUAUAUCCUUAUCAACAUCUCAGAUACCUCCAAAACAGAUGGAUGAACACUUGAAUUAUGGAAGAAUUAAAACCAUGGAAACUUGCAGUUUGGUACUGAAAGCAAGAGGCUAUCAACUGUAACACUUGCACUUCACUUUCUUUAUUCAAAUUUAUGUGUUCUUUACUGUGACCAGUUUGGCUGAAUUGAUUAAGAGACAUAGUUCUAAAAUAGGUUAGACAAUUUUACUCUUGGUCACUUAUUUUGAAAAUCUGUCAACUUUCUCAAAAUACCCAAACCACUAUUUCUCUUAGGUGUCCUGAAUUUAACUCAGUGUAUACGGUAUAUGUGCGUGUGUGUGUGUGUGUGUUAGGUGUGUGUUAGGUGCUGUCCAGUCAGUUCCAACACAUGCCUGAGCCCAUUAUAGGGGCCACUGUGUCAAUCCAUCUGGUUAAGGGUCUUCCUCUUUCUUGCUGACCCUCCACUCCACCAAGCACGAUCCCUUCUCCAGGGACUGGUAGCUCCGGAUAACAUUUCCAAAGUACGUGAGACUUAGUCUUGCCAUCCUUGCUUCUAAGAAGCUUUCUGGUCGUACAUCUUCCAAGACAGAUUUGUUCGUUCUUUUGGCAGUCCAUGAAAUUUGGCAGUCAAUUUUUUUUUUUUUAUCCUUCCCUAGUACCAUAAUUCAAAGGCAUCAAUUCUUCUUCAGUAUUUCUUAUUCAUUGUCCAGCUUUCACAUGCGUAUGAGGCAAUCAAAAACACCAUGGCUUGGUUCAGGUGUACCUUAGUCUUCAAGGUGACAUCUUUGUUUUUUAACACUUUAGAGAGGUAUUUGUCCAAUGCAAUAUGUCUUUUGAUUUUUUGACUGCAGCUUCCAUGGGUGUUGAUUGUGGAUCCAAGUAAAAUGAAAUUCUUUACAAGUUCAAUCUUUUAUCCAUUUAUCACAAUGUUGCUUGUUGGUCAAACUAUGAGGAUUUUUGUUUUCUUUAUGUUGAAGUGUAGUCCAUACUGAAGGCUGUGGUCUUUGGUCUUUAAUCUCUCUUUCUAUAAAUCAAACCCACUGCCUUCAAUUUGAUUGUGACUCUUAGCAACACUAUUGGUCAGAGUAGAAUUGCCCCGUAGGGUUUCCAGUGUUGUAUAUCUUUACAGAAGCAGACUGCCACAUCUUUCUCUGGUGGAGCACCGACCUUUUGGUUAACAGCUGAAUGUUUUAACCACCGUGCCUUCAGAGUUCCAUAUAUAUAUGCAAUAUUAAAAUAAUUAUCUAAAUUUGUCAUUCUCUCUCAAUAUAUUCAUAGAAAGAGACAUAAAUUGAUAGACAAAUAGAUGAUAGAUUAGAUAGAUAGACAGAUGAUAGAUAGAUAGAUGAUAGAUAGAUAGAUAGAUAGAUAGAUAGAUAGAUAGAUAGAUAGAUAGAUAGAUAGAUAUAGAUAUAUACAGGCAUAUGUGUGUGCAUUCUCUCUGAAACCCUAUGAGGCAGUUCUACUCUGUCCUUUAGGGUUACUAUGAGUCCUAAUCAACUUGAUGGCAAUGGGUUUGGUUUUUGGUUUUAUAUACACAUAUAUGUGCAUGUGCAUACACACUUUUAUGUAUAUGUAGGGAGAUAACAAAAUAUGUGUAGAUAUGUAGGGAGAUAACAAAAGAGAGAUCAAGAGAUGCAUUAGGGAGAGUUUAAGUUAAAUAUCAUAUGCACAUGCAAGCACACACACAAACCCCACACACAUUCUCACAUUAUUUUCAAGAUCUGAGAUCAAACAAUUUCACAUGACCUCUGCCAACAUAUGAUGCAGCAAACUAAAUGCAAUUAUGUUUAACUGCAAUCAAUAGAACCAAUUCCAAGUGGUGAAUAAGACCUAUGAAAAAUGGUGAUGUAAGAUAUUCCCACAAACCACAAUUACAGAGACAUAAAACCCUCCAGGAAAGAAACAUUUUUCCCAACAAACU